UGGGGCGUCGCCAAGCGGUAAGGCAGCGGUUUUUGGAGCCGCCAUUCGUAGGUUCGAAUCCUUCCGCCCCAGCAA
rnacentral:tRNA from 1 species